AUGGCUGAUCCGCUUGGAUUUCCUGGUUUCUGGUUUCGGGUUCCUCCUAGUCCUAGUCCUAGUCCUCGUUUUCUUUUCUUUUCUUUACUUUUUAUGAUUUGUUGUUGUCUGUUUUAUGGUCCAAUUUGGCGGUCAAUGGCGAUAAAGUCGUAAAGCCGUUUGUCUGGCACGAUUUUCGGGUCUCUAAUCACACGCCGGCGUCAACAGCACGGAGGGGCGGACGAGCCGAUGACAGGUCGCAACGCUGGGCGGGACGGGGGGCUGUGGCGCGUAACGCGGCUAUAAACACGACCAUUAAGUGGUCAACAAUUCGAUGAUCAGGACCCGCUGCCGGAAUACCCCAGAGGCAAUCAAUCAGCGGCAGAAGCAGCGCCACCAGACGCAGACACGGCUACAGUAACGGUAAUGGCGAACGGUAAAAGUAACAGUAACAGUAACACAGUAACGAGGACAACGGACGAUAGGAGGCGACUGAUACAGGAGCACACACGCAACCGAAGAGGAAAGCACUCUGACUCUGACUGCGAGACGGACGACGACGACGACGACGACGACGACGACGACACCAGGAUGACCUUCACCAAUACGCACGCACAGAUAAAGGAUACAAAUACACAUAUAUACAUAUAUAUAUAUAUGUAUAUAUGUAUAUAUAUGGGCAAAAAGUAAAGUUUUCGCACACACAUACAGCUAUGACGCAGCGGCUGGCAAAAAGCUUCGGCAGGAGCUAAAGGAGAAGGAGAAGCCAGCUUUGAUUUCGUUUACUGCCUCCUUUCGAGUUUCAAGUGCAAAUUCGACAUUAACUUGCAAAAAAGCUGCCCAAACUGUGAGAGACAGAGAGACAGAGAGAGAGAGAGAGAGAGACAGUAGCAGUGUUUGGGUGUAGGAGGAUAGUAAGUGCGUCUGUGUGCGUCAGGUAAGUUUUCGAUACCCCGCAGGAGUGCAGGGUAGAGGGUAUACCAUUUUGCCCAUCAAAGAUGUUCAAGAACUGGCCGCGUCCGCCUGAUACGAAUGGUACGGAUAAAAAAAGCUUUGUAAACACAUAUAAGUAGAAGCAUGCUGUUGCCACCAGGCCCAAAGCUCUCCUCAGCCGGCUAGAGCCAGCGACUUAGCUCUCAUUUAAUGCCACUUCCUGCGAGGAGGGGGCUUGGGCCGUAGAAGGAUGGAGUGGAUGUAAAUCCUCGUGCGGCUGUAUAUGGGAUAAAAUAAUUAUGUUUCAAUUAAAUAUAGUUUGAGAAAAUAUACUCCCGAUUUCCACACCUUG